AGUGAACGCUGGCGGUAGGCCUAACACAUGCAAGUCGAACGGCAGCACAGUAAGAGCUUGCUCUUACGGGUGGCGAGUGGCGGACGGGUGAGGAAUACAUCGGAAUCUACUUUUUCGUGGGGGAUAACGUAGGGAAACUUACGCUAAUACCGCAUACGACCUACGGGUGAAAGCAGGGGAUCUUCGGACCUUGCGCGAUUGAAUGAGCCGAUGUCGGAUUAGCUAGUUGGCGGGGUAAAGGCCCACCAAGGCGACGAUCCGUAGCUGGUCUGAGAGGAUGAUCAGCCACACUGGAACUGAGACACGGUCCAGACUCCUACGGGAGGCAGCAGUGUCGAAUACUGGACAAUGGGCGCAAGCCUUAUCCAGCCAUACCGCGUGGGUGAAGAGAGCCUUCCGGUUGUAAAGCCCUUUUGUUGGGAAAGAAAAGCAGCAGGUUAAUACCCCGCUGUUCUGACGGUACCCACAGAAUAAGCACCGGCUAACUUCGUG
rnacentral:rRNA from 1 species